CGCCAAUUUACAUAUCGAAGCUGUAUAUGUGAGGUGAUUUGGACCUCUCGUUUCUACCUCGGAGCCUAACUCUGAGACUACAGUUUUAUCCAGUCUACAC
rfam:Vibrio sp. JCM 19231 DNA, contig00086.